rnacentral:rRNA from 1 species
UGCAAGUCGAGCGGUAAGGCUUUCACAGAUUGUUUAACCAGAUAAGUCUACUUAGGUAGAUACUGUCUGAAGCGAUGCUCACCAGGCUAGUGAAUAAGGUUGAACGAUGUGUGAAAGUACACGAGCGGCGGACGGCUGAGUAACGCGUAGGAACGUACCCCAAACUGAGGGAUAAGCACCAGAAAUGGUGUCUAAUACCGCAUGUGAUCUUCGGAUUAAAGCUUCGGCGGUUUGGGAACGGCCUGCGUAUGAUUAGCUUGUUGGUGAGGUAAAAGCUCACCAAGGCGACGAUCAUUAGCUGGUCUGAGAGGAUGAUCAGCCAGACUGGGACUGAGACACGGCCCAGACUCCUACGGGAGGCAGCAGUAGGGAAUCUUCCACAAUGGGCGAAAGCCUGAUGGAGCAACGCCGCGUGCAGGAUGAAGGCCUUAGGGUUGUAAACUGCUUUUAUAUGUGAAGAUUUAGACGGUAACAUAUGAAUAAGGAUCGGCUAACUCCGUGCCAGCAGCCGCGGUCAUACGGAGGAUCCAAGCGUUAUCCGGAAUUACUGGGCGUAAAGAGUUGCGUAGGUGGCAUAGUAAGCAGGUAGUAAAAUCGUGUGGCUCAACCAUACUUAUAUUAUCUGAACUGCUAGGCUAGAGUAUAUGAGAGGUAGCUGGAAUUCCUAGUGUAGGAGUGAAAUCCGUAGAUAU